AGUCGAGCGAAUGGAUUAAGAGCUUGCUCUUAUGAAGUUAGCGGCGGACGGGUGAGUAACACGUGGGUAACCUGCCCAUAAGACUGGGAUAACUCCGGGAAACCGGGGCUAAUACCGGAUAACAUUUUGAACCGCAUGGUUCGAAAUUGAAAGGCGGCUUCGGCUGUCACUUAUGGAUGGACCCGCGUCGCAUUAGCUAGUUGGUGAGGUAACGGCUCACCAAGGCAACGAUGCGUAGCCGACCUGAGAGGGUGAUCGGCCACACUGGGACUGAGACACGGCCCAGACUCCUACGGGAGGCAGCAGUAGGGAAUCUUCCGCAAUGGACGAAAGUCUGACGGAGCAACGCCGCGUGAGUGAUGAAGGCUUUCGGGUCGUAAAACUCUGUUGUUAGGGAAGAACAAGUGCUAGUUGAAUAAGCUGGCACCUUGACGGUACCUAACCAGAAAGCCACGGCUAACUACGUGCCAGCAGCCGCGGUAAUACGUAGGUGGCAAGCGUUAUCCGGAAUUAUUGGGCGUAAAGCGCGCGCAGGUGGUUUCUUAAGUCUGAUGUGAAAGCCCACGGCUCAACCGUGGAGGGUCAUUGGAAACUGGGAGACUUGAGUGCAGAAGAGGAAAGUGGAAUUCCAUGUGUAGCGGUGAAAUGCGUAGAGAUAUGGAGGAACACCAGUGGCGAAGGCGACUUUCUGGUCUGUAACUGACACUGAGGCGCGAAAGCGUGGGGAGCAAACAGGAUUAGAUACCUGGUAGUCCACGCCGUAAACGAUGAGUGCUAAGUGUUAGAGGGUUUCCGCCCUUUAGUGCUGAAGUUAACGCAUUAAGCACUCCGCCUGGGGAGUACGGCCGCAAGGCUGAAACUCAAAGGAAUUGACGGGGGCCCGCACAAGCGGUGGAGCAUGUGGUUUAAUUCGAAGCAACGCGAAGAACCUUACCAGGUCUUGACAUCCUCUGAAAACCCUAGAGAUAGGGCUUCUCCUUCGGGAGCAGAGUGACAGGUGGUGCAUGGUUGUCGUCAGCUCGUGUCGUGAGAUGUUGGGUUAAGUCCCGCAACGAGCGCAACCCUUGAUCUUAGUUGCCAUCAUUAAGUUGGGCACUCUAAGGUGACUGCCGGUGACAAACCGGAGGAAGGUGGGGAUGACGUCAAAUCAUCAUGCCCCUUAUGACCUGGGCUACACACGUGCUACAAUGGACGGUACAAAGAGCUGCAAGACCGCGAGGUGGAGCUAAUCUCAUAAAACCGUUCUCAGUUCGGAUUGUAGGCUGCAACUCGCCUACAUGAAGCUGGAAUCGCUAGUAAUCGCGGAUCAGCAUGCCGCGGUAAAUACGUUCCCGGGCCUUGUACACACCGCCCGUCACACCACGAGAGUUUGUAACACCCGAAGUCGGUGGGGUAACCUUUUGGAGCCAGCCGCCUAAGGUG
rnacentral:rRNA from 2 species